UACGUAGGGACCAAGCGUUGUUCGGAUUUACUGGGCGUAAAGGGCGCGUAGGCGGCAAUUCAAGUCAUCUGUGAAAUCUCCGGGCUUAACUCGGAACGGUCAGAUGAUACUGCUUUGCUCGAGUGCGGAAGGGGCAAUCGGAAUUCUUGGUGUAGCGGUGAAAUGCGUAGAUAUCAAGAGGAACACCGGUGGCGAAGGCGGCCCACUGGAUCGGUACUGACGCUGAGGUGCGAAAGCGUGGGGAGCAAACAGG
rnacentral:rRNA from 1 species